AUACGGAGGGUGCAAGCGUUAAUCGGAAUUACUGGGCGUAAAGCGCACGCAGGCGGUUUGUUAAGUCAGAUGUGAAAUCCCCGGGCUCAACCUGGGAACUGCAUCUGAUACUGGCAAGCUUGAGUCUCGUAGAGGGGGGUAGAAUUCCAGGUGUAGCGGUGAAAUGCGCAGAGAUCUGGAGGAAUACCGGUGGCGAAGGCGGCCCCCGGGACGAAGACUGACGCUCAGUUGCGAAAGCGUGGGGAGCAAACGGGAUUAGAUACCCUGGUAGUCCACGCCGUAAACGAUGUCGACUUGGAGGUUGUGCCCUUGAGGCGUGGCUUCCGGAGCUAACGCGUUAAGUCGACCGCCUGGGGAGUACGGCCGCAAGGUUAAAACUCAAAUGAAUUGGCGGGG
rnacentral:rRNA from 1 species